rnacentral:lncRNA from 1 species
AUGAGCUUCUCUAUUCAUCUAUCGGAUUGCUCCAAACGCCCUCUAAACUCUGCUAUCAGUCGAUUUUCUACAGUAAUCGACUAUUCUCCGAAUCCCUUCCAGACUUCUUCCGGCCACGGAUGACUCUACUCCGAACUUCUUUCGAACUUCAUCAAUGUCCAAGCUUCUCCGACAACGGAAUUUCUACAGUAACCGGACUCC